UGGGGCUAAUCCCUGAUAAGUGAGAACUCCUGGAAUGGAUUCUCGCUCAAAGGACGUUUAGACCAUGCUUCUAGGCGUCGCCCAAGGAGGGGGCCGCGACCGAUCAGGUUGUUGGUGAGGUAACGGCUCACCAAGCCUUUAACCGGUACGGGCCGUGAGAGCGGAAGCCCGGAGAUGGGCACUGAGACAAGGGCCCAGGCCCUACGGGGCGCAGCAGUCGCGAAAACUCCGCAAUACACGAAAGUGUGACGGGGCCAUCCCGAGUGCCAUCCGCUGAGGAUGGUUUUUCCCCAGUGUAUAAAGCUGGGGGAAUAAGGAGAGGGCAAGCCUGGUGUCAGCCGCCGCGGUAAUACCAGCUCUCCGAGUGGUGGGGAUGUUUAUUGGGCCCUAAGCAUUCGUAGCCUGCUUGGCAAGUCCUCCGUUAAAUCCAACGAUUCAAUCGUUGGGCUGCGGGGGAUACUGUCCGGCUAGGGGGCGGGAGAGGCCGACGGUAUCCUCGGGGUAGGGGUGAAAUCCUAUAAUCCCGGGAGGACCACCAGUGGCGAAGGCUGUCGGCUAGAACGCGCUCGACGGUGAGGGAUGAAAGCUGGGGGAGCGAACCGGAUUAGAUACCCGGGUAGUCCCAGCUGUAAACGAUGCAGGCUAGGUGUUGGCGCGGCUACGUGCCGCUCCAGUGCCGCAGGGAAGCCGUUAAGCCUGCCGCCUGGGAAGUACGGCCGCAAGGCUGAAACUUAAG
rnacentral:rRNA from 1 species